UACGAGUGCCUCAAGCGUUAUCCGGAAUCAUUGGGCGUAAAGGUUGUGUAGGUGGUUGUAUUAGUCUUCUGUUAAAUUCUUCGGCUUAACCGGGGGCAUGCAGGGGAAACGGUACGACUAGAGGACGCGAGGGGUCUGUGGAAUUCAUAGUGUAGCGGUAAAAUGCGUUGAUAUUAUGGAGAACACCAAAAGCGAAGGCAGCAGACUGGAGCACUCCUGACACUGAAACAAGAAAGCGUGGGUCGCGAAUGGG
rnacentral:rRNA from 1 species